CAACCUGUUACCGCGGACGUACCGCGUAACAGAAACCGGGUUCAUCGGUAACGGGAACCCG
rfam:Pseudomonas aeruginosa PAO1, complete genome.